GAGGGGCGGAGCCGGCCGUACCUGCGGGCCCGCGAAGUAAGAGGGAGAGGCGUCCGAGGAGGACGUGGGCCCCGGAGCGGGAAGCGCCGGGUCGCGGGACAAUGGCUGGGAAGACGGAGCUCCGGCUGUCGGCGGAGAUUCGAGGGAAGCGGCGGCGUCCGCGCAGGACGGCUCUUCGGGUGGGAGGAGCCCCAGCACCUUGCCCUGUGGGGUUCACCCGGCCUCCCGCCCUGGGUUAGCCGAGGCGGCUGUGUGUGCGUCUGUGUACACAGCACAUUUUUCUUCUCGGUUUCUUUCUUUGAGAACCCAAUUUGAAGGAAUUUUGCAGAUUUUGUUGCUAUUUAAACAAAAAGAAAGCGGCCCGCGUCUGAAGGCGGCGCUGGCCUUAAGGUCAGCAGGCGACCCCACGAGGCCGGAGGAGCUCUGCAAACGAUGGGAGAGGCGGCAGCGGCGAGGUGUCCGGGAUUCAGAUCGCGCCAGGCCUGAUCCAGACCUUGGAUGGCUUGGCAGCGUGGUUGCCAGGCCGGGCGGCCCCGGAAGAGGGCUUGGCCUCCCCAGGAGAGGCUAGAGAGAGACUCCUGCUCCCGGAAGCCAGGCUGCCAUGGGCACCAGCUCCCCGGGGUUCCAGGUGCCCCUAAGCUUUCUCCACGCUCUAGGAAAGGCCUUCUAGCAAAGGACCCAGGCGAGAAGAGGUGCUGAGGUGUCCCAACUCUGGUUGAAUUGACCAGAUGAAGAAGAGAAACCUAGGUGGCUUUAGUGAAGCUGUUGACCUGCAAAUGUCAAAAGCCUUUUCUUUGAGACUCAUGGCUCUGCAAGUCUGAAGAAGAUUAGGAAGCAAGACAGGAUUGUGGCAAGGUUCAAACCUUUUGACUUUGGGUAACAACGUAAGGUUUUCUGUUAAAGGGCACUUCCUGUUGUGGCAGGGUGCACCAGGCAACCUCAGAUUGGGCCUCUGCCCCUCUGGGAGCACUGUGACUUGGAAAGACCCCAAAAAAGUAAUCUUUUUUUUUUUUAAUACUGAGAAUCCAACUCAGAACAUUGCGCUUGCCAGGCAGUCUGCCACGCAAUCUCGGUGCCAUUGAGCUACAUCCCGGCCUCAAGGGUAAUCUCUUUAUGUGGAAAUUCUGAGGUAGCAUCAUAUGAAGCGAGAGCUCCUAACUUGGAUCUGUGGAAUUCAUUCUUUUGAUGGAAGACCAUGCACUUUUCCCUCAAGGAGGGCUCACUACUAGUCAGGGAAUCCUACAGCCAGUCACACCACUCCGGUGGUCACUCCGGAGCUUCCAGUGGUUGAGAGCCUUGACCCCCAGGUCAGCCUCGGGAGAAAUAACUAUGACUACACAACAAUACCCAUAAUACCUAAGCCCUUCAAAAAUAGAGUGUUUCUGUUGCUGCUGUAUGACUCAGACUUUGUCCUCCAAGGAAAAAAACAGUUUAAAAGAGCAAAACAAUAAAUGAGAAGGGCAAAAUAGUAAAUUGAUUUAAACAAAGUCAGCUUCAAUUCUCUUCCAGAGAGGAGGAUACGGUGCAGGCUGCGUGAGAACAGUUUGACGAUUUUAGUUUUCUUAAGAAUAUUUGGACUUGUUUUAUGGCCUAUCUUAAAGAAUGCCCUAUGUGUACUUGGAAAGAAUAUGUAUGUUGUAAAAAUAAAUGCUGACGAGGAUGCCGGGUGAAGAAACUCUACACUGCUGAUGGGAAUGCAAAUUAGUACAGACACUAUGGAAAUCAUUAUGGAGAUUCCUCAAAAAACCUAAAAAUAGAACUGCCAUAUGACGAAGCUAUACCACUCCUUGGUCUAGACCUAAAUGAACUAAAGCCAGCAUCCUCUAGGAAUACCUGCAUCCCUGUGUUUAUCAUGGUACAAUUCACAGUAGUCAAGAUGUGGAACGAACCAGCCUAGGUGUCCAUCAAGAGAUGAAUGGAUAAAGGAAAUGCAUUAUAUUUUAUGUAUACAUUAUACAUUACAAUGUGAAUAAUAUAUAAUGGAGUAUUAUUUAGCUGUAAAGAAGGGGAAGUAUGUCAUUUGCAAGAAAAUGGAUGGAACUGGAGAUCUUCAUAUUAAAAUAAGCCAGACUCAGAAAGACAUGUAUCACGUGUUCUCCGUAGUAUGUGGGAACAUAAAACAAAUGGUGUGAAAGUAGAAGGGAAACUAUUACUAGACAAGAGGAAAGAAAUAAGGGAAGGGGAAUGUAAGGGGGGCUAAUAGGAAAGAUGGAUCUGAUUAAAAUACAUGCGUGUAUGAAAAUACUGCCUUAAAACCCAAUGUUUUGUAAAAUUAAUAGACACUAAUACAAUAUAGUUUAAAAACAAGAA